rnacentral:lncRNA from 1 species
CUCCCUCAAUCCUUCAACCCGAAACCCACACUUCACCUACCAUUCAAUCCCUGUUGACUUGACAGAAACCGAGGCCUCCAUCAAGGAUCUCACCGUUGUUCUUUCUAUUCUAAAUGCUAAAUGUGUUGAGCCUUUCAGAGAAUGCUUGGCCGGGUUGUUAUCCGAUGGCGUUCAUUCGGGGAACCCCAUUGCAUGCUUGAUCUCCGACCCUUUCUUUGACUUCACUCGAUCGGUUGCGGAGAGCUUUGAACUGCCGACGAUCAUGUUAAGGACUGGGAGUGCCGCUUCCUUGGCUGUUUAUGCUGCAUUUCCACUACUCAAGGAAAAGGGUUACCUACCAAUAUCAGGUAAAAUCUCAAGCCAACAAAACCCUGUUAUUACAUGUGUUUUAAUUUCAUCAUUGCACAUCUAAAUAAUAUGAGUAGAAUGAGGACACUGUACCGAGACUAAUGUCUCGUUUAGAAUUCUUUCUAUAAGUAAUAUUGUUGUUUUUUAUUCGUAAGAGAUUAUAAAAUGCUUUUGUUAUAAACAUGUCAAAAAUUUUAUUAAAAACUCAAGUGCUUCUUGGCAAAAACUUCGAAGUGAUUCUUCUUCUUCUUUAGAAAUAACUACAGAUCCAAAAAUGUUUUGGUAACUACAAAACACUUUUUAACUUUUCUAGAAGCGAUCCCAAAUUGGUACAUAAACAACUUAUGCAGAUUUGGAGUUGAGCAAUGAUACCCUUACCAUCUAUUUGUGUCAUCGCUCUAAUAAAGGUAGAACGUACCAACACAUGUGGUCUUAUCUCUAUUAGAGAGAUGAUACAAAUGAUGAUAUAAAUAGAUCGUAAACGUAGUAUUUUUGUUUGGAUUAAGAUAACUAGCUAGGUUAGCAUGUUUAGAGCAUUUCCAAUGAGGGACUCUAUAUGAAGCUAGAAAAGUGGUGGAUAUAGCUCAAUUUAGAGCUUCAAGGAAUCUUUAAGACUCUAAAAAUGAAUCUCUUACAAUGAGGGGCUAUAUACCCUUUUGGCUCUAUACGAGGCUAAAUACCUUUCAAGCUCUAUAUAGGCUAUAUAUUUAUGUAUGUAAUAAUUUGAUUAAUAAUUUGAUAACGCUGUAAAUUUAUUGUUAUCUUAACUUUUCUUAAGUUGGUUUUGGACGUGUUACCUUAAAUAUUUUAUGAACUUUUCAACCAAAAAACAUUUCAAAUUCUGACAAAAUUAGAUUUCAUCACCUAUGCACCGUUAGAUUAGGUUUUCUUAUCUUAAUCUCAUCCGUUGAUUUAUGUAUCGGUUUAGGUCUCUAAACUACCAAUGUUAAAUUUCAUCACUUUUUUUGUGAACUUUUCAAUCUAGAAGAUUAAGCAAAAAGCACAACAUUUUUUUCUUAAUUAAUAACACAGAAUAUAGCCAUUGUUUGUUUAUGUUUUCUUGAUUAAACAAAGUUGAAAAUAAAUUCUGAAAUCAUGUUUUGGCAGGAUUAGAAAUGGACCCCAUUUCUAAACUAAAAAACAAAAAAGAAACCAAGAUUGCGCUCUUAAUUUGGUGUGGGGUCUCUUGCUUUUUGGUGCUAGAUGUAGCCUUUUUUUUUUGCUACCAAAAUAAUGAAAUUGCUAGCCCAUGUGACAGAAUUAGCCUUAUUUUCCAGUUCAUUGGAGAUGAAAUUUUUCAUUAAAGCUACAAAUAUGGUAGCCUCGUUGAGGAUAAAGUUCCUAUUGAUGAUACUCUUAUCCUAUGCUCUCCCUCAUAAAUUAACAUUUUAGAAUAUGCACUAUCUUGUUAAAAGACAAAAUAUAUGUACUUACUAGAAAACUUGUGUUUGGCUUUCUAUUUUGACAGAAUAUAUAUAUAUAUAUAUAUAUAUAUAUAUAUAUAUAUAUAUAUAUAUAUAUAUACACUUGCUCAAAGUGUUUUAAUUGGAGUAGUGCUAUUCAUACACUAUUAGUAUUUUUUACUUUCCACAUAUCUAUAUUAGUUUAUAUUUAUUGAUUUUCUUCAAUUCAUUUGAUUCGACAGUCAGAUAUUAAGAGGGGUAUAUGAGAGAUAAAAUAGAUGUGUGUAUGGCACCCUUUAAUUGCCUAAAUUUAUAAUACAUGGUUGACUUGACUAUGUCUAUGUGUAUUAUUUAUUAGUCCAAAUAACUGAGUAAGGAUAUGAAGUGCUAGUCGUAACUUUCUCGUAGUGAUUACUUUGCCGAAAUAUUAGUCUUUUUAUUAAUCUUUUUUACAUAAUAUUACUUACUCACGUAUUAUAGAAAGAAUGUACCAAGAUUUAGACAAUUUAUUUUUGACUUUUUAUUUUGACAAUAAUUAGAUUCUCGGCUAGAAAUACCAGUGGCAGAGCUUUCACCUCUCAAAGUUAAAGACCUACCAACGAUGACGAAUUGCGACCCUGAGGUUUUUUAUCAAGUGAUAACCAACAUGGCAAAUGAACCCAAGGCUUCUUAUGGACUAAUUUUCAAUACUUUUGAAGAUCUUGAAGGACAUGCACUUGCCACAAUUCGCCAAAAAUAUUACCCCAAUAUUCCAAUUUUCUCACUAGGUCCAUUUCACAAGUGUGGUCCCACAACCUCUUCUUCUUCAAGUAGUUUAUUAGCACAAGACCAAAGUUGCAUUUCAUGGCUAGACACUCAAGCGCCAAAAUCUGUUGUUUAUGUUAGCUUUGGGAGCAUUGCUAGUAUAGAUCAAGCUCAAUUUUUGGAGAUUGCUUGGGGGUUGGUCAAUAGUGGCCAACCUUUUUUGUGGGUGGUUCGACUUGGAUUAGUUCAAGAGUCGAACUGGCUUGAAAAGUUGCCUAACGAGUUUACAGAAGCGUUGAACAAGAGGGCCCAUGUUGUGAAAUGGGCUCCACAAAAAGAAGUGUUGGCCCACCCAGCAGUUGGAGCCUUUUGGACUCACUGUGGUUGGAAUUCUACAUUGGAGAGCAUUUGUGAAGGGAUCCCUAUGAUUUGUACGCCAUGUUUUGGUGAUCAAAUGGUAAAUGCAAGAUAUGUGAGCGAUGUUUGGAAGGUAGGGUUGCAGUUGGAGCAUGGGAUUGAGAGAGGUGAGGUUGAAAGAACAAUUAGAAGACUCAUGGUGGAGGAAGAAGGGGAAGAGAUCAAAGACAGAGCCUUAAAGUUGAUGGAGGAGGCAAAUCUUUGCCUCAAAGGUGGUGGCUCUUCAUACCAGUCUUUGGAUGGGUUAAUUCAACAUAUUUUAUCAUUAUAAAUCGUUUGUUUCUAAAACUCAGCAUUGUUAUUGAAUAAAAUAAAAAAUAUUGUUGGUCUGCACUCUCCGGAUCUUUUCCACCAAGACACACAAUCCAGAUUUUUGAAAUUUGAUCAAACAGUUACAAAUAAAGGCUUACUUUAAAAAUUAUAAUAACUUUAGUCAUUGGAUCAAAUUUCAAAGGUCCGGAUUUUGUGCCUUGGUAAACUUGGUGGAAAGGAUCCGGCGUCUGCAACAUGUGUAUGUGUGUACAUAAAUUGGGGCUUUUAGCAAUGGAUUUUUCAAAGAUUAACCACACUUUUUUAAAAACCAUAUAUAUAUCGUGGAUAUUAUUAAUAGGAUGUUGAUAUUAACCACACUUCCGGCCAAGGAUUGGCUCUGAUACCAAAUUGUCACAUCCCGGCCUGGGCCCCCACCACAUCCCGGACUCGACUCUACCGUAGCACAAUAUUGUCCACUUUGGGCCUUUACCACGCCCUCACGGUUUUGUUUCUGGGAACUCACACGAGAACUUCCCAAUGGGUCACCUAUCAUGGGAUUGCUCUCAUGCGAACUCGUUUAACUUCAGAGUUCCGAUAGAACCCGAAGCCAGUGAGCUCCCAAAAGGUCUCGUGCUAGGUAGAGAUGAGAAUAUACAUAUAAGACUAACAUGAUCCACUCCCCUGGGCGAUGUGGGAUGUCACAUCAUUCCUUCAGAAUCCAAAUACCAUCCCAUAGUUAGGAGUCCAAUUGCUCCAAAUUUCGGAAUUGGAUUCCAAAAUUUAUGUGGGACCCACUAAUUUUUUAUUCCCUUAGAUUUGGUAAACACCGGAGUAUUCCGUAAUUAGAAUUCAAUUCUGUUUCUUGAUGCCGAUUAUCCUUACGUAAACGUGCCCUAAGUGCCUAACACACACAGACUCCCUGUAAUGGUAGGAGAGAAAAGGUCAGAGAUUGAUUUAUAAAAUAGAAAACUUUAUUUUAAUCCUUAAAAAAGAUGAGUUUUAAAUUAUAACCUUAUGUAAGAUUAAAAUCUAAUUUUAAUCUAUGAUACAUUUAAUCAUCUCAUUUAUUAAUUACAUUUUGAUGUUUUAUUUCUUUUUUCUUUCUUUCCUAUUUUAAAUGUAUUAAUUACAUUUAAUUUUCAUUUUCAUUUCAGUCAUCAUAAUAUAUUUUGAUGUCUCCAUUUAGGUAAACUAAUUUUUUAUAUAAUAUAUUCGAAUACAAUUUGUAUAAUCUUUCAUUUAGAUACAUUAAUUCAUUUGAUAUAUUUCAGUAUAUCCAUCAAUACAAAUAUAUAGGUACAUUAAUUCAAUAUAAUACAUUUCGGUACGUAAAUUUUGGUACACUAAUUCAAUAUAAUAUAUUUUAGUACAUACAUUUCGGUAUUGAUAUUUAAGUACAGUAAUUCAAUAUAAUACAUUUUGGUACAUACAUUUAGGUUCAUUAUAAUAUAUGUAGGUACACAUUUCAGUACAGUCAUUUAUGUACACAUAUAUUUACAUAUUUAUGUGUCACUAAUUUCUUUUAAUAUUUUCUCGUUUAUGUUCAUUUAUAAUUGAAAGAACUAAUAUGUGCAUAUCAAUAAAAUUAAAAUUUUAAUGUGAAGACAUUAAAUAACAAAAAUAGAAUAUAAAUCUUAAUAAAAGUACAGAGAUUAAAUUAAAUAUGUAAUCUAGCAUCAAGGUUUUUUUUUUUUUUAAUUCUAAUAUUUUGCAAGGACUAAUGUUCAAAAACCCCUUCCCCUUAUAAAAUUAGGCACAGAGAUUGUGACAUAUGCCCUAGCUUCCAAUUAGCUAGUAUAAAUAAAGAACUUUUGUGAUUGAUUAGUCACAACAUUUUCAAGCCAAGCAACCACAUAAUCCCUCUAAUGGAGCAGAGCAAACACCGGAGAGUGAUACUCUUCCCCUUGCCUUUUCCUGCAUCACAUAUAAACCCAAUGCUGCAACUGGCCAACAUUCUACACACCAAAGGCUUCUCCAUAACCAUUAUCCACACCAACUUCAACUCUCAUAACUUCAACCCAUCAGCCCAUCCACACUUCACGUUUAUCUCAAUCCCUGACGGCUUAUCUGAAUCCGAGGCGGCCACCAAUAACAUUCUCCAUCUUUUCUCUCUUCUGAAUGUCAAAUGUGUUGAACAGUUCCGCGAAUGCUUGGCUAGCUUGUUAUCUGCUGACGCUAACUCAGAGGAGCCUAUUGCUUGCUUAAUUUCUGAUAAACAUUCUAUAAUAUACUAUUUAUUUUUAUUAUUGUCUAGGUAACAAUUUUUGAUAUUUUCUUUAUCUUUAUGGUCCGAAUUUUUUUAAUCCAUAUAUGUAGUUACAUAAUAUAAUUUUUACAUUCUGUGUUCACCUUCUACCACCAGCAAAUUUUGAAGAGGUGUUCAUCAAUAUUUUUGAAUAUAUUGAUAUACUUUUCAAAUUGUUAGGCCACGGAAGCUACUAUACUUGGCCAUAGGUGAGAAAGUUUGAAUUUUGUUUUUGAUCUUGUAGUGUUUAAUAAAUUCAUGAGACUUUUAUACGCUGUUUGCUUUCCCUAAUCAAUUGCAGUGCAGUUGAGAUAUGUGUUCUUAUAUAUGUGUUGCACUUAAUGAUAUAAACUAGAAAUAUUGCAUGUAAUGGUAUAAGUUCUAAUUUUUGUUGUAGAUGGAGAAGCUGAGAAGACAAUUUGAAUUGGAAAGCAAACAAGUCCUACCAAAGCAGCAGUCCGAAGUAUCAUAUUCUAAUAUAAUAAAAUCAAAUAAUUAAAUAAAUAAAAUUUAAAAAAUACUAAUUUAAUUAUUUCGGUUCGGUUUGGUUCGGUUUCUAGACCACCAAAACCGAACCGAACCAAAAGAGUUCGGUUCGGUUCGGUUUUUUCAAUUCGGUUCGGUUUUUUCGUUCGGUUCGAUUUUUUCGGUUUCGGUUCGGUUCGGUUUUCGGUUUUUUGAACCCACCCCUAAUUGCCAAAGGAGAUGGCCUCGUCCAACUAUUUAGGAAAAAACUUAAAAUGUAAUCUGUUUGUACCAUACUUGACCAAUCCCGAAACUACCGAGCACCGGCCAACGCUAUACUGUCAAGGACCCAGAAGAGUUCCCCUCCGACCAGGAGGCCAAUCACUACUCGACACGUGUCAAGAUUAGAAGCCAAUCAGAGCGCAGCACGUGUCGACAUCAAGAACCAAUCAUAACAUGACACAUGUCAAUGUGACAAAGCUACAAGUUUUUCUAUAAAUAGGGGUCAUUCCCCCACAAUAUUGCCUAAUGCCAUUUUGUGUUAAAUCAUUCACAAGAACUCACUAAAUUGAGAGCUUGAUCCUUUGUACUUGUGUAAGCCCUUCACUACUAAUAAGAACUCCUCUACUCCGUGGACGUAGCCAAUCUGGGUGAACCACGUACAUCCUGUGUUUGCUUCUCUGUCUCUAUUCAUUUACGUACUUAUCCUCACUAGUGACGGAAGCAACCAAGCGAAGGUCACAAAACCUGACACUUUCUGUUGUACCAAAGUCUUCGCUGAUUUUGUGCAUCAACAUAAUCGAAAUCGAGAGACUCCCUCAAAAGGGGAUUAGAUUCUUUCCCCUAAAUCGCAAAUGAAGUGCGUGCAACAACUCUCAUUGUUUCUGCCUCGGACUGUAUUGCUCUUUUUUUUUUUUUGUCAAAUGAUAGAUUUUGUUAGAUUAGUCACCAACGGAAUUUGAACUCAUGCCUUCAUACAAUGGGUCAACACCUUUCCACCAUUGUGGUAAAGGGGCCACUUGCAGGACACCAAAAGAUGAACUAAAAUGUGUAAUCUGAGCCCUCAGAUUACUCAAAAAGUCAUUGCUCAUUGUUCAUUUGGUUUAGAUAUUAAUAGUGUCACUGUUGUUUUAAGUUACAACAAACUAAUUAAGUCUGAGUGGUCAAAUAGUAUUUCUCCAAGUUGAAUGAAAUUUGCAUUCUAUUGAGAAAAAUGCGUUCUCUUCUUCUUUUAACAAAUUCAAUAUCGAAUAAAACUUGCUCACUGUUUGGAGUAUUUUCUAACAACCCACACAAAACAAUAAGCAUGAAGAUCACAGUUACCUACCAGGCAAAAUAGUCAAAUACAGAUGUGUACCACAAUAGAUCUUUUACAUAUCUCAAAACCAUAUACAUCAUUUGACAUAGGAUUCAUCAUAGUAUUUGGUAGAGAGAAUUUUUUUUUUGUUUACACCACAACACCGACACCAUAAAUAUUAGCAACAAAGGCAGUCAAUCCCUUUCAUUAUGCAGCCUAUAACAGGAAAAAAUAGAAAGCUCAAAUAUGUCUGCUUACUUUACAAUAGUAGAUGUUGUACUAAUAAUUUAGGACGCUCUUCUCUCCAAAUUUUCUCAAAUAACUAUCAUUUUCGUAUAGCUCGUAUGAAUGCAACUCGAAAAAUUGCUCGGAAGAAAUAUAUACAAACAAAAGCAAACUAAAAGUAAGCUAUUGAAAGAAAUUUAGAAACACACAAACAUCACAACAACUCAGACUUAAAACUCAACAAACACCAAAUAGUAGAAACUGAAUAUAUAUAUGCUCUUGAAUCGAGAACUUCAUCAAACGAACAACAAUCAAUCUAAUACAAUCUGUCAAAAACCAAAAGGGAAAGAGAGAAUUUCAAGGCCCUGUAAUGUCGAGGCCUCGUACGGUAACACAAUAAUCUUGUACAAUUAUACAAUUUCAAGGCCUUGACACAAAAUAAUUGCGAAAUGCCUUUUUUUAAUCACGGCAUGCUGCACGCGACUCACAUUUUAAACAUAUUUAUCUGCGUGAAUUGCUUCACUUGUUUUGUAUUUCAUUAUUUUCUUUCUUUAUGAGACAUAUUAGAAACAUUAAAGAAAAGCGAUCAUCAUGUCACAUAAUACAGAGAGCAAUUCAAAGUUUACAAAAGUUGAGGGAGAAUAUUUGAUAGAGUUAAAACAUUGUUCAUACCAGGUAGGACAAAACCCCAAACGGAGGAAAAAGACAUCCUAACAUUGAGAACAAUUUAUUUAAGAAGAUGACAACUUUGGCUAUAUUGCUCCUAUCAUUUCUCUCCAUACUUGAUAUGUUGAACUCCAGUUGAAAACUUUUUGUAUUCCUACAUAAAAAUAAAUAAAUAAAUAAACACAAUAAUUUAUUUGACAAAGGAAAUGAGCACAUAAGGGAAAAAAUUACUGUAACAGUUAACUAACAUAUGAAAGUGAUACUAUCCUUGAAAAUCAUGUCCUCAAAUGUGUAUCAUCAAUUUAAUUAAACUAUAGUGAGCAACACAUUAGUCUUUUUUCAUUUUUUGUACGGGCAACAACAUAGUGCAAGGGUUAGAAUAUAUUUGCACGUAUAUGUUGCAUAAUAUAACAUGUGUAGAAGUUACAAAUGUGUUUGUGUUUCUUCAAUUUUGAGUUCAAAAUGAACGUCAUAAUUUCAAGUCCUUCAUCUAAUAGCUAAUAAUGACAAUUGACAUGCCAAAGAGGUGAAAGAAUUCAAGAGAUUAAGGCAUUGGAAAUGCACCAAUGGGGCUGGAAUUGUCUUUGAAAUUAAAAAGCUGUAGAAUUCGUCCUCUCUGAGAAAAACUUAGUUCUUCUCUGAAAAUUGGAUCACCCUCCCUCAAGGUCCUAUGGAUAAAUAUGAAUGUUUUCAAAGCUACUAUCAAUGCCAACCACAAAAAUAAUACAAACAAAGUUUAACAGGAAUCAAAACAUAUGUAUACAUCUACAUAAGCAUAUUAAUCCAUAAGUCAACGAUGAUCCAUAUACAGCCGAUAAGAAGAGUGUCAUAAAGUGUUGCAUUGUCCCAUGUAAACUGGGACAACAUUGAACCGGACCAGUAGAAGAUUCACUUCAGAAUAGUUAAAAUUAUAUAAACUUAUUUUUCCGUGUAAUUAUGCAAUCAAACUCUUGCAUUUACUUUCCUGCUCAUCCAUGGUAUCACAAAGUAGUGCACCACUGGCAAUGGAUUAAACAUUGCCCAAACAGCAAACACCAAGGCCUGUCUAACCAAUGAGGUUGCACGCACAGAUCCUGUCACACGACUCUGUUGUCUAAAUCAUCAUCACAUUGUAUGUAGUGAGGCAGUGAAAAAAAGACUACCUUGGUUCUUAGAUUAGAUGUUUAAGCUAAUAAGCAACCAAGACAUCGAUAUUUCGAAAUCCCAUGACUUUCGGCAAGUACUUACUAAAUCUUAAGUCCAUAUAACAACUGAAAACAUUUUGAAUUGCACCAAGACAGAAACCUAGCAACCAUACCUCGGCUAACCAACCAGCAAUGACUUCGAUUGACACAAAGGUCCGAAUCUGAUCCACGUUAACAAAAAAACCCACUCGCUAAAAUCAAUCCAAUACCUGUUUCACAAUUACAAACUGUGUUAAAAACCGAAAAUGGACGAAAAAGCAAAGAAGAAGCAUUCAAGAGAUUAAGGCAUUUAAAAAAUUAGACGAAGUGGACAUAGAUCAGAAAAAAGUUGGGGAGGGAAGUGAUAACUCUGCAGUGAGGCAGUAAAAAAUGAAUCCAACUAAUCCAAUCUAUUCCCUUUUGUCUACUGGCUAUUGUGCCACACGGUCCCAAAGUUUAGUCUUCUUUCUAAUUCCAUGUGUCUGGUAAAUGUGUCAAACCCAUUUGAAUAAAUACACUUGAAGAAAUUUCAAUGAGAAAAACGUAGGAAAAGUAAGUAUUCAAACUCUUCAAUGGAAAAGGAGAAGGCGCGGAGAAUUACCGUUUCACUCCGUUCUGGCCUCAGAGAGUGAGAGAGGUCUUCAUCGCAACAACUUUAUUUCCAUCACUAUAAACCAAAGCAUAAACCCUACAAACUUCCAUUACAGAUAGGAGGGAUUACAUAUGAACCUGUGCACUGAAAAAUUUAACAUCUAAAUUUUCUUAUUCGUGAAAAUUGAAAGGAAAACGGAUGACUGAAAUGGAAGAAAGACAAAAGCCCGAUCACAUACUCGAAAGGAACACGACAUAUAUAGCUGUAAACGUACCUUUGCAGACCUUCUCUUUGAGCUUUAGGAACCGGAAUUGCAUUUACUGUAAAUCCAAACUGUAAUGAAAACCCAAUGAGGGGAAUCCCUGAUCAAAACAACAUCCAUCCCUGAACGUGAUGAUUCAGUUUCAGCUGCAACAAUCCUUCCCUGAAAUUAUAGACCCUAUGCUAGCAGCCUAAAAUCCCAAAAACACAUAAUAAAAAAUUCAAAAUUUGAAGCGAUUUCACAAAUUGGGAUCAAUAAUCUGAAAACAUAGUUCAAUUUUUUAUUGCUUGGAUGGAGAAAAUUGAGAAAUGAAAGAAAAAAAGUUAGGUUUAGGAUUGAACUUGGUACUUGAACCAGAGACAGUUAGCCGAGGCCGGCGUUGUAAAGAGCUUGAGAAACCUUAUCGAAUACACUGAGGGGCGUCCACGAAAUGCUUUCUUCAAUGAAAAACGUAUCUCCUCCGUCCUUCCGGUACGCAACCGUGGUGGUGGUUCCGAACCAGCGGGAGUGGCUGAGUCAGAGCAAGCUGAUCCGAAACGAAGACGAAGCAUUAGAAAGAAUAGAGAAGUAGUGCUCGAAUUGGGAGAGGAGGUUGAUCGAUGUACGGAGAUCAAAAUUUUGUAACUGAACAAAUGAAGUGGAGAAGUUAUGAUAAAAGGUUGUGGGGGGUUUGAAAACUGCUACGCAGAAAACUGAACGUCCUGAACGUGGUGGGUUUUCAAUACAUAUUUCUGUGUGGUUAUUGUUUUUUUACCAGUUUAUCCUCAUUUUUUGAAAUUUUUUGGGUUUGGUUGUGAAUACAAAAAAGGGACUUUCUUGGCAUUUUGAAAUGCUUCACCUAUUUGGCCUUCUCCCUCUAUAUAUACUAGCCUCUCCGCAUGCACUAACGUGCAUGCGAGAGGCAUUUUUGCAUCACGGGCGCUACGCGCCCCUAAAGGUAUAUUGUGUUAUUUUUUUCCAUUGUAAUUGUCAAGAUAUAUUUUAAAUGUAUUGUGCAAAGAGGAACUUUUUUUUUUAUCAUGCACGUCCUAAAAAGUUGUCAUGUUUUUCGUUUUCACUUUGCGUAAAGUAAUGAUUUAAAUGUUAUUCAUGUAAUUGUCAAACAACAUGGGAUUUUGGAUGCAAGUUCCUACCUAAAGUUCAUGAACAAUAGUAAGUAGAUGUGAAUAAAAAAAGAGUAUAUGAAAACAUUAAGUACUCGUAGCAAAAUACAAAACAACUUAAAUGUCAAAAUAUAAAACCUAGAUCACAAUAUUUAUGUUAUUCACAAUACCCAUAAAGUCUAUAUGUCAUUGUUUAUUUUGAAAAGAAAAUUGACAUCAAUCCUGCAAUUUCCACCCAUUUGUUCCUGAUUGACGCUUCAAAUUUUCAUUGCCAAUCUACAAACAAUUGUGAGAAAAUUAAAAAUCAAAUAAAAAGAGUUAAUUCAUAAGUGAGAAAUGCAUAUUGAAAGGUUAUCAUUAAUAAAGUUGUUACCUAUUAGGAAUCACCAUAAUUAGCUGGAAUGAAGCAAGAUUUCUUUGUAUACUACAUUUCGUGUAUAGGUCUUCAUCUAUUUACCUAACUAUUGUGAUAGUUAAAAUAUAUUGGGAUCUUAUCUAUUGUUAAGAUGUUUGGUACGCGCCCCUAAAAAUGGUUUUGCUUUAAGAUGUUUUGCGUAUGUAAAAACACGGGGUAUUUCUAAAAAUUAGGCCAAAGUAGGUUCUUGGAGCCAAGUACAAAUGCUGAAUUUGUGCCAAUUUAAGUGGUGUGCAAAUUUUGGCUUUUAAUUUAAUACAAAUUCAUUUGAGGUCAGGCCAUGAAAAUAGCCUCUUUUUUUUCAAUUAAUGGUUGUUCACAAAUUUGUCACUUGAGGUGGAAAGAAAAAAAAAAGUUGUGUGUUUUCUUACACCUAACGCUAAAGUGCAAUGAAACACAAAAUAGGCUAGGAAAUCAUUCAUCAUAUAAGAAAGAACUUCGUACAUAAGCAAGACCAUCCAAAUAAGAUUUCAGGUAAAGAGAAUGGUGAUACAUGAAAUACAUAGUUAUUCUGAUUGUAUAUAGGAAUGAUGAAUAUGUAUUCGUCCAUAAAAAAAAAUGAAAAAUAGGAGAAAAGUACCAACUAACAGAAUCGAAGGGAGCUAAUGUAUUUACCCUCUAUUCUUUAUUUGUCCCUCUUCUUUCUUUGCAUUUAUGUUGGCAUCUUCAACAGCAUCAUACAAUCUCAGUUUCCUAUUGAGAAAAAACGGAGGCAUAUAUAUCAUCUUAUCCUCACAAUACCACAAAAUACAGCUCACUACAUAUUGGAUUCUCUUUGAACACUUUAUUUUACCAAAAUCUGUUAAAGAUGAGUUGAUUAAACUAUAAUUUGUUCUAUUUUUGUAGACCUGUAUGUUGAGUUGGUUAGAUUGGGGAUUCCAAUUUUUGGCUGGAAUUUGAAUGUAUAAUUGUUGGAUAAGAUCUAAGUCUUAUUGAUAAUAAGGAUCAUUACAUGUAUCACACAUAUGUUUUUAAUGAUAAUAAGGAACAUGAGGCUCCCCUAAUGUAGUGUUAUGAAGAAAGUGGAAAAGAUAAACUAAGUUCAUGAGGAUAUAGAUAGAAUAAAUAUUCAUGGAUAAGAUACCUUAAUGAUGUUCACGGUUUUAUGUCAAAAUGUGCAUUUUUCUGGAUAGGUCUUCAUCUAUUUAAUUAACUAUUGUGAUAGGUAAAAGUUGCUUAAUAUGCUCUAAAAUUAAUGUAAUUUAGUAAGGCAAAGUAAAAGCCAAAACCAAAAUGACAUAGUAAAUUCAGUGCAUAAUAUAUGUCCAAAAAUGCAAAUAGAUGCUUGUAAUUUAAUUGUUUAUUAUCUGUAAAUGGCAUUGAAAGCAUUACUUAUUUGGAACAAAGCAAUAAUACGAAUAAAUGGCUAAUAGUUAGGUAUAUACGAGCUAGAAACCUUUCUCUACAUACAAAAAAAUCUAACGAUGGGAAAAUUAAUCCACAAAUACUUAAUGCUAGCCUCUUCAAUCAAAUUCUACUUAACCCAAGACUAAUCCAAUCCUAAUUAGCGAACAUGACUUGAAAAUUUGCUGGCUUUCUUUAUCGUCAUGUAUGGCAAAUAGAUAGCAAGCGAAUGCUCAAACCUGGAAUGUGUAACCACUGGUAUUCUCCAUGUGUAUCACUCCCGAAACAUGUUAAAAGCUUUGGCAAGUAAGCAAACUGCAACAUCGAUACAAUGACAAACAGAACUUCAAUUACACAUUGCCAAACCGUCCAAAACUUUACUCAAUAAGAGAACAAUUAAAAUAUAUCAUAUUCUAAUAAAAAAAUUGUAAGGCCACAUCCACAUUGAAUCGUGCAUCUUUAGCAAAAACUUAAAAAAAAAAAAAUCAGAUUGCAAAACUGUCUAUGUAAAUACUUAAAGUCAUUGUAAAAGAAUAUACUAUAAUCGAACGAAGAGCAUAAAACUCACCAAGUUGAUUCAAGUCAUGAAGCCUGAAAUGUAAUGAAAUCAAUUCAUUUGCAGCAAACAACAUACACAUAUUUCUUUCGACACAGAGGUAUACAAAAACCAACCUACCUGUAAAACUCCUACGUAUCAAUAAACCGUACCCGACACCAACGGGCCACCAGUCUCAGCGACAAUGAAGCUGAAGCCGCCAAUCUCCGGUGGGAUGAAAACUCAGGAUGAAAAGUAGGUUCCUAAAGCUAUAAACAUCUUUAAAAUGAAACGGUGGGAGAAUUUGACUAAUCUUGUCUUUUUUGCAGAUUUUCUUUCCUUGUUCUUCCAUAAAGAUUCCAAAUCUUAUAAAUUCACCACCCAAAAACAAACUACUAAUCGUAGUAGUACAUUACACAAAACAGAGAGGUUUCUACAAAUUGGUCCAAAACCCAUUUAAAAAAUCUGGUAAAUAUAAAUAAUUUCGAAUAGUUCAAAUGACAAUCGAGUUAAAUACUCCAAAUUACUAUAUAUAUGAAAAUAAGGUCGUGAUGAACAAUUCAAUUAAGCAUAGAGUACCUAGAUUGAAGCAGAAAGUGAAAAUCUCUAGCGAAAACCCAUUUCAAAAAUCUGGCCAAGAUAAGGAUAAUAUUGUUCGAGAAAAUUAUCCAAUUUAUCUAAUGUUUUCAAAGCUACCUGCCAAUGACAAACACAAAAAUAAUACAAAGUUUAACAGGAAUCAGAACAUAUGUAUACAUAUACAUAAGCAUAUCAGUUCUUCCAACCUUCCAGUAGACACAAUAUAAUUAAAUUUACUUCCUGCAACUACUCAAAAACCACAAAACAAUCAAAUUUAUUUGCUACUCAGUAACCCAAUUUCCUAGCAACCAAACAAUAAUGAUAAAAUAUCCAAAAAUUGCUUUUUGGAAAAAGAGAAUAAUAAAAAAUAACUCACAUUUUUUCCUUUUACUUUCUCUCCUUUUUUCUUCACUGAUCUCCUCCUCUGCUUCUUAGUCUUCGAUUUUCCGACUCCACAAAACCCGAAAUUGACUACAAUAAACUUAAAACCCAUAAAAAACUUAAACAAAAGCAAAAAACCAAGGAAAGCACAGAAAAUACGAGAGUGAGUAUUAGAGAAAAUGCUUACCGGAUCGUCCUUGAAAGUUAGGAUUUCUGGGUUUUUAGUCUAAAAGAAUGAGUGCGCAUUCUUCCUCAGUGCAAUGUUUGAGAGAGAGAGUGAUGGAAGGUACCUAAGGCCACAAAAUGAAUAGCUAGAAAAAUACCACAGAAUGAAUAGAUAGAAAAAACAGUGUGCAGACGAUGGGACAAAAAAAAAUGGAUAUUGAAUAAAGAGGGAUAAUACUAACCAAUUUGUGUAAAUCCUAACAUUUAUUUUCAGGAUUGCCAGUUUCAGAUGAAGAAAUCAUACAUAAAAGGCGUGGAGGAGGGUGUUUUGUACGGAAGACAAAAAUGAGUUUGAGAAAAUCAUCCAAUUUUCCCUUUUGUAUGCUCUGUGGGGAUCGAGAACGUGUGAUAAAUGGCGGUUCCAUGUCGGGUCUGUCAACCGCAGCAGUUGCUGCUUUGAUCGUGCAAUACAUGGUUUCUGAUGUCUUUCUAGCAGUUGUGGAAUAAUUGAUCUAAAGGCUGAAAAUGAACUUAAAGUGUGAGUAUCUUAUCCAAUGGUUGUGAAUUAAUGUCGUUGAGAAUUCAGAAUUAUUACGUUUUUAACCCUAUUUUUUAGACAAUUAUUUUUUGGUUUUUUGUGUACGAAGUGAGGGCAUUCUUGGCAUUUCUGAAUGCUUCACCAAACUGGUCUUCUCCCUUUAUAUAUAUAGAUGAUAGAUGAUGAUGAAGAAGAAUACAUGUAUAUAUAUAUAUAUAUAUAUAUAUAUAUAUAUAUAUAUAGAGAGAGAGAGAGAGAGAGAGAGAGAGAGAGAGAUUGAGAGAAAGAGAGGAAUGAAUAAGGUCAUACUCCAUCAUCAUCGUCUAAAAAGAAAUCUAUUUACAGUUAAACUUUAAACCCAAAAUAUUAAAAAAAAACUUUAUGUUAUAAUUCUAGUUGAACUUUAAAUGUUUAUUUUCAUUAUCUUUAAGUCUAGUCGGAAUAUUUAUGUUAUGAUUGUGUUGGAUAUGUUAAAAUUUAGGGUAAAUUACAUAGUAGCCCAUCAGGUUUGAGGUCUAUUUGCAAUCUUAUACAACAUCUUUAAAACAUUUCACUUUUAUACCUCAAGUACUAUUUUAUUUCAAUUUCAUACAACCGUUACAUUUUUCAUCCAUGGAUCUGUUAAAUGCUGACGUAGCUGCCACAUAUAUGCCAUGUGGCUACCAAAUGUCUGCCACGUGGCAAAUAAAAUAAUUUUUUUUUAAAAAAACCGGAAAUUGGAAGGAAAAAAAAAGAAGAAGAAAGGGACCGAACCCAGAAGAAGAAGCAGGAAGAAGAAGAAGAGAAGAAGAAAGAGGAGGAGGAGGAAGAAGAAGAAGAAGAAGAAGAAAAAAGAAGAAGAAAGGGACCGAACCUAGAAGAGAAGAAGAAAGAGGAGGAAGAGAAGAAGAAAGACGAGCAGGAGGAAGAAGAAAAAGAAGAAGAAGAAGAAAAAAGAAAAAAAAAAGAAAGGGACCGAACCCAGAAGAGAAGAAGAAAGAGGAGGAAGAGAAGAAGAAGAAGAAAAGAAAAAAAAAAGAAAGGGACCGAGCCCAGAAGAGAAGAAGAAAGAGGAGGAUGAGAAGAAGAAAGAGGAGGAGGAGGAAGAAGAAGAAGAAAAGAAAAAAAGAAGGGACCGAACCAGAAGGAGGAAGAAGAAGAAGAGAAGAAGAAAGAGGAGGAGGAGGAAGAAGAAGAAAAAAAACAAAAAACAAAAAUGAUCGAAUCCCUUGCAACCCAGAAGAAGAAGGAAGAAGAAUGAGGAGGAGGAGGAGGAGGAAGAAGAAGAAGAAGAAAAAAAAAACCCCAGAAGAAGAAGAAGAAGAAGAAAGAGAGAAAAAAAAAAUGGCAGACAGGUUUAUUAAAAAAAAUUAAAAAAUUAUUUUUAUUUGCCACAUGGCAGACAUUUGGCAGCCACGUCAGCAUUUAAUAGAUCCAUAGAUGGAAAAUGUAACGGUUGUAUGAAAUUGAAAUAAAAUAGUACUUGAGGUAUGAAAGUGAAAUGUUUUAAAGAUGUUGUAUAAGAUUGCAAUAGACCUCAAACCUGAGGGGCUAUUAUGUAAUUUACCCUAAAAUUUAAGAUUUCAAAAUUUUUCAUUUUUUGAAAAAAAAAACCGAAACCAAACCGGAAAAAAUAAAAAAUAAAACCGAAAAAAAAUUGAACCGAACCGAAAUUUCGGUUCGGUUUCGGUUUUGGCAAAAAACCGAACCGAUUUCAACCGAACCCACCUCUAUUGGCAAUGACAUCCUAUCUAUUUUUAGUUAUCACUUAAGAAAUAUAAGAAUAUCUAAAGGAAAACAUUUUUGGGGCACGUAGCGCCCGUAAUGUAAAAAUAUCUCUCGCAUGAGCGUGAAAGCAUGCAGAGAUGCUAGUAAAACAAUAAAAUAAUGAAAACUAAUCAUUACGUACUCCUAGAAAUUGAAAUGUAACGGUUGUAUGAAAUUGAAAUAAAAUAGUACUUGAGGUAUGAAAGUGAAAUGUUUUAAAGAUGUUGUAUAAGAUUGCAAUAGACCUCAAACCUGAGGGGCUAUUAUGUAAUUUACCCUAAAAUUUAAGAUUUCAAAAUUUUUCAUUUUUUGAAAAAAAAAACCGAAACCAAACCGGAAAAAAUAAAAAAUAAAACCGAAAAAAAUUGAACCGAACCGAAAUUUCGGUUCGGUUUCGGUUUUGGCAAAAAACCGAACCGAUUUCAACCGAACCCACCUCUAUUGGCAAUGACAUCCUAUCUAUUUUUAGUUAUCACUUAAGAAAUAUAAGAAUAUCUAAAGGAAAACAUUUUUGGGGCACGUAGCGUCCGUAAUGUAAAAAUAUCUCUCGCAUGAGCGUGAAAGCAUGCAGAGAUGCUAGUAAAACAAUAAAAUAAUGAAAACUAAUCAUUACGUACUCCUAGAAAAUCUAAAACCGUAUGGUUUUGAAUAGAAUAAAAUAUUAAAAUAUUAAAGUAAAUUAUUAUUUCUAGGAUCUAGUAAUCGUACGGAUUUUGAAUUGAUUAAAAUAAUUUUAAAAUAAUAUUUUAUUAUUUGACUGACCUGUGUUUGAUAUAUUGAGUUAGCUAAAACAAUUAAAAAUAAAAUAAAAAAUUACUCAAACAAUUAGUAUUUUUAAGUUUAAAGAACUAAAACUCCCUAUCCUAAAGCCCAGCUUAACCUUGUUAGUAACUCCGUCAUUGGCUGUGUGGAUCAGCGGCUUCUCCAAUUAUGUUAAGUGUAAGAUUUAAGUACGAGGAUUUGGGACCUUAAUCAAUCAUUGUCUGUGCGGAACAACGGCUCUUGAGAAAGUUAGGUGUAAGAUUUUAUUUGAAAAGCAGUUAGGUACCAAUGCCCUUAAUUUAUUUAUAUACUGUUGUGUGUACCAACGGCUUCUUCAUUAAGGUAGGUUUAAGAUUUAAGUUUGAGAGUUUGGUACGUCAAUUCAUUAAACAAGAAAAUUAUUUUUCAAUUAUGAAAGUCGAUGCCCACAUUAGUUUGUUAGUAUCUGAAUAUUUCAAAAAGGCUACAGUAAUAGCUUUUCAUUAUAUGAAAUUUUCAAAAAGAGCGAUCACUCCACUUUUUGAUUUUUAUCACGGAUGUGACUCCACGUAAAAAGCACUUUGUGUGUAAUUACAACACACGAUUGAAAUAAAAGAAGUAAAAACAAUAAUAUCAGUAUCCCUCUUUUCUUCUUUCCUGCAAUCUUUUGUGUUAUGGUUAUGAAACUAAAUAGUGUGAUAUCUUGCAUCCGCUUCUCUCCCGUCCCUCGCGAAGGCUAUCUCACUAACUUUUUUAUUUAUAACAAAAAUUACAUACAGAGUUUUACAAAGGAUUUUCCCUUUCGGAAAGCUCCUUGAAAAGCUUAAGAUUUUAUAAACAUACCUUAAAAACACCCUCCAAAGACACAUAACAGGAGAAGAACUAAUUUAUCAGUUACAUUAUUUAUGAAAUUGAACUAUAUAUGCAGCAGGUUGGUAAAGAAAAGCACAAGCCUUAGGACGCGUUUACUAAUCCGUAAUCAGAUUGAAGGGAAUUGAAUUGAGGAUGAAUCAGAUUGAGGAGGAAUUGGAUUGAAGAUGAGUUAGAAUCAGAUUCUUAUUAAAAAUGUUUACUAAAACUUUCUGGAAUCAGAGUAAGAAUGACAUUUAUCUAUAUAAACUGUUUACUAGUUCACAUGAAUCGGAAUAUAAACUAAUAUGAUUACUAAAAUACCCUUGUUAUAUUAAAUUAUUUUUAUAUGCCGAUUAAAAGAAAGUCAAAUGAUAUAAAAUAAAAUUAAAAAGCAAACUAACCAAUUACCAAACCCCAACCUAAUUGUUCCUCUCCUUCUCCUCCUUUCUCAUCUUUCAACAGUUUGAAAUUGAAGGUGGGUUUGUGGCCGAUGGGCAGUGGUGGUGGUGGCGAUGAUGUUGAAGGAUUAGUUUACAGGGCUGUGAUUUCAUGUUGGCUUGGUGUGGAGGCUUGGUUUUUGACAUUUUGUUCAUAAAAUACCUAAUAAAAUUGCAGCAAGGUUCUUCUUGGUUUUUGGUUUGAUCUACAUUUGUAAUUUAAUUGUUGUGGAAGAUGAUGGUGGCCGAGUUUAUGUCCUGGGAAAGGCAAUGGAUGUGCGACGGUGGUGAUGGAGAAGGAGAGGGAUAACACUAUGGACGAGAGCUUGGGUUUCUUUGGAAUUUCCACUUUUAUGCGAGGGCACAAUGGGUAAGAAAAAUGGAUUCCUCGCCCCCUCAAUUGUCACAUCCCAGCCCGAGGCCUCACCACAUCCCGGACUCGACUUUGCCGUAGCACAAUAUUGUCCACUUUGGGCCCCGACCAUGCCCUCACGGUUUUGUUUCUGGGAACUCACACGAGAACUUCCCAGUGGGUCACCCAUCAUGGGAUUGCUCUCGCACGAACUAGCUUAACUUCGAAGUUCUAAUGGAACCCGAAGCCAGUGAGCUCUCAUAAGGCCUCGCGUUAGGUAGAGAUGAGAAUAUACAUAUAAGGCUUACAUGAUUCACUCCCCUGAGAGAUGUGGGAUGUCACAAUCCACCCCCCUUAAAGGCCCGACGUCCUCGUCGGCACACUUCCGGCCAAGGAUUGGCUCUGAUACCAAAUUGUCACAUCCCGGCCUGGGCCCCCACCACAUCUCGGACUCGACUCUGUCGUAGCACGAUAUUGUCCACUUUGGGCCUUUACCACGCCCUCACGGUUUUGUUUCUGGGAACUCACACGAGAACUUCCCAAUGGGUCACCUAUCAUGGGAUUGCUCUCGUGCGAACUCGUUUAACUUCAGAGUUCCGUUAGAACCCGAAGCCAGUGAGCUUCCAAAAGGUCUCGUGCUAGGUAGAGAUGAGAAUAUACAUAUAAGACUUACAUGAUCCACUCCCCUGGGCGAUGUGGGAUGUCACAUCAUUCCUCCGGAAUCCAAAUACCAUCCCAUAGUUAGGAGUCCAAUUGCUCCAAAUUUCGGAAUUGGAUUCCAAAAUUUGUGUGGGACCCACUAAUUUUUUAUUCCCUUAGAUUUGGUAAACACCGGAGUAUUCCGUAAUUAGAAUUCAAUUCUGUUUCUUGAUGCCGAUUAUCCUUACGUAAACGUGCCCUAAGUGCCUAACACACACACACUCCCUGUAAUGGUUGGAGAGAAAAGGUCAGAGAUUGAUUUAUAAAAUAGAAAACUUUAUUUUAAUCCUUAAAAAAGAUGAGUUUUAAAUUAUAACCUUAUAUAAGAUUAAAAUCUAAUUUUAAUCUAUGAUACAUUUAAUCAUCUCAUUUAUUAAUUACAUUUUGAUGUUUUAUUUCUUUUUUCUUUCUUUCCUAUUUUAAAUGUAUUAAUUACAUUUAAUUUUCAUUUUCAUUUCAGUCAUCAUAAUAUAUUUUGAUGUCUCCAUUUAGGUAAACUAAUUUUUUAUAUAAUAUAUUCGAAUACAAUUUGUAUAAUCUUUCAUUUAGAUACAUUAAUUCAUUUGAUAUAUUUCAGUAUAUCCAUCGAUACAAAUAUAUAGGUACAUUAAUUCAAUAUAAUGCAUUUCGGUACGUAAAUUUUGGUACACUAAUUCAAUAUAAUAUAUUUUAGUACAUACAUUUCGGUAUUGAUAUUUAAGUACAGUAAUUCAAUAUAAUACAUUUUGGUACAUACAUUUAGAUUCAUUAUAAUAUAUGUAAGUACAAACAUUUCGAUACAGUCAUUUAUGUACACAUAUAUUUACAUAUUUAUGUGUCACUAAUUUCUUUUAAUAUUUUCUCGUUUAUGUUCAUUUAUAAUUGAAAGAACUAAUAUGUGCAUAUCAAUAAAAUUAAAAUUUUAAUGUGAAGACAUUAAAUAACAAAAAUAGAAUAUAAAUCUUAAUAAAAGUACAGAGAUUAAAUUAAAUAUGUAAUCUAGCAUCAAGGUUUUUUUUUUUUUUUUUUUUUUAAUUCUAAUAUUUUGCAAGGACUAAUGUUCAAAAACCCCUUCCCCUUAUAAAAUUAGGCACAGAGAUUGUGACAUAUGCCCUAGCUUCCAAUUAGCUAGUAUAAAUAAAGAACUUUUGUGAUUGAUUAGUCACAACAUUUUCAAGCCAAGCAACCACAUAAUCCCUCUAAUGGAGCAGAGCAAACACCGGAGAGUGAUACUCUUCCCCUUGCCUUUUCCUGCAUCACAUAUAAACCCAAUGCUGCAACUGGCCAACAUUCUACACACCAAAGGCUUCUCCAUAACCAUUAUCCACACCAACUUCAACUCUCAUAACUUCAACCCAUCAGCCCAUCCACACUUCACGUUUAUCUCAAUCCCUGACGGCUUAUCUGAAUCCGAGGCGGCCACCAAUAACAUUCUCCAUCUUUUUUCUCUUCUGAAUGUCAAAUGUGUUGAACAGUUCCGCGAAUGCUUGGCUAGCUUGUUAUCUGCUGACGCUAACUCAGAGGAGCCUAUUGCUUGCUUAAUUUCUGAUGCUAUCUUUCACUUCACACAACCUGUUGCUGAGAGCCUCAAGCUCCCAAGGCUUGUGCUAGAGACCAUGGGUGCCACUUCCACUGCUGUUUAUUAUGCAUUUCCUCUUCUGCGUGAAAGGGGUUACCUUCCCAUACAAGGUACAACCCUACAAGCAAUUUCAUUCUUAACAUUGCAUAUCAGUUAAUUCGAAAAAUUUAUGUGUAGCACGGUCACGUGAUAUUACUAAUUCAUGUAUACUAAUGUGACAACUAAUAUUUAGUUAAUUGUUUUCCCAAUAGAUUAUCGACUAGAAGAGCUGGUAAAGGAGCUUCCACCUCUCAAAGUCAAAGACCUUCCGGUGGUUAAAGGGUGCGAUGCCGAUAAAUAUUUUGAGUUCAUUGUUUACUUGUUAAGUAUAACUCAGGCCUCAGAUGGACUGAUUUUCAAUACUUUUGAAGACUUUGAAGAAACUUCACUGGCCAAAAUACGCCACGAAUAUCUACCCAAUACUCCAAUUUUCCCAAUAGGCCCAUUUCACAAGUAUUCCCCUUCCCCUUCUUCAAAUAGCCUAUUGUCACAAGACCAAAGUUGCAUUUCAUGGCUAAACACUCAAGCACCAAAGUCAGUUGUUUAUGUGAGUUUUGGGACCGUUGCCAAAAUGGAAGAAGCUCAAUUUUUGGAGAUAGCUUGGGGACUAUGCAAUAGCAACCAACCCUUCUUGUGGGUUCGACCUGAUUUAGUCCAUGGAUCGAAUUGCCUCGAACAAUUACCUAGUGGGUUUGUCGAGACUUUGAACGGGAGGGGACACAUUGUGAAAUGGGCGUCACAAAAUGAUGUGUUGGCCCAUCCGGCAGUUGGAGCCUUUUGGACCCACAAUGGUUGGAAUUCUACAUUCGAGAGUGUUUGUGAGGGGGUCCCCAUGAUUUGUACGCCAAGUUUCGCCGAUCAAAUGGUUCUUGCAAGAUAUGCGAGUGAAGUUUGGAAGGUCGGGUUGCAGAUUGAAGAUGGGAUUGAGAGAGGUUUGAUUGAAAAAGCAAUUAGGAAAGUAAUGGUGGAGAAGGAAGGGGAAGAGAUGAGAGACAGAGCCUUGAAGCUAAUGGAGAAGGCAAAUCUUUGCCUCAAGCAAGGUGGCUCCUCAAACCAAUCUUUGGAUGGGUUGGUUAAACACAUUUUAUCAUUCAAACCAUUUGGUGUUCCACAAGAAUAACAUAUAUAACCUCCCCUUGCUCCGCUCCCAACCGUAGUUGAUUCCGACUGCCGUUUUGAGAGACGGACGGUGUUUUCCCGACGUACAUAGUCGUUUUCUUGGUGUUUAUUGCCAAUUUUCUGGUUUUCUUUCUUUCCAUCCUUUUUUUCUCCCUAUCUUCCAAAUCCUGAUAUCAAGUUUGGCUCCCCUUCGCUGCAAACCCAUCCCCCCCCCCCCCCCCUCAUGCUUCCCCAUAUUCAUCUCCUCACCCAGCCAUAAAUUAGACCUGGAAGUGCUUCACCUACUUGACUCUCUAGAUCCACACCUCAUAGCCCCUUGCCGUACCUGUUUACCGGAAAAUUUGGGCGAGGUGUGGUACGAUUCGCAUCAUAACAAGGGUGUUUUACACACCCCCUUUUGCCCUGCCCCUGUUCGUUUGCUUGUCUGGUUUCAUGGAUCUCUGUGCAGGUGCGGCUAUGAAAGGUUGGGAUCUCGGUGGUUCAAUUUGUUUCGGCAUUUCAAGAUCUGAUUUACGGUUUGGGUGUGUUUUUGGGUAUGGGUUUGCGUGGUGCUACACGGCUUUUGCAGGACUCAACUUGGCGUUGUCUCCGCGGCUGCAGUUCCUGUCGGUGCGGCUACAGUCGCUGGUAGCUGUUUGUUGUUGGAGAUUAGGGUCCUUUUUUUGUCUGUUGUUGAGUCUUUGCUUGUGUGAGCCUCUUGAUAUUUUGAGACUUUGAGUUACUGCUCUGCUUUGGCUUGGACAUUUUUUUUUGUGUGUAAUUUUCUCUCUUUUUAAUGAAAUAUUAGCAUAUGGGAGUUGAAUAUCAGAGUGCGCAACGAAUAAAACUACAAAAUAAUAGAAAUAUUAUUAAACAAACAAGAAUGCCAGAAUAACUACAAAACCCUAAAAGGCUACAUUGUGACUAACUUAUUUCUCAACUGAAUAACAAGCAUGCUAUUUAUAAUAAACUAAUCCUAAUCCUAAAAGGUAAGAAACCGAAACCCUAAUACUAACGGGUUAAGCCCAGAAAACCAAACAUUCAAAUAAACCAAAAUACAAAUAUUUUUCAACACCCCCUGUCAAACUCAUAGCGGUACACAAUAUGAGUUUGCCAACAAGCAGAUGUAGAUGUAAGCCUCCAAAUUCCAAUGCUGAUGCCGAUGUCGAUAACGAUACCAAUACCAACUUCCAAACAAACAAUAAAAAAAUCCAAUCAAACAGACCAUAUAUUUCUUUUUGCCCGUGUGGGCCUUCAAACAAAGAACCAACGUUUUUUGUCUUUAUUCUUUUCUACCUUUUUUUUCUCCUUUUAUUUAUUUUAUUUUAUUUAUUUUUUAAAUCCCCCUCUUUUUUCUUAUUCCUUUUUCUUUCUCCUUCUUCCUCUUUUUUUCUUCUGUUUCCUUUUUUUUUUUUAAUUUUCUUCCUUUCCUUCUUUCCUCCUGCUGGGCCUUUUUUCAAUUCAUGCAGCAACCAAGUCGAGCAAAAGGAAAGGGAUUGCAACAAACAAAACAACUCCAGUGCAAAGUCAAAAUGCAGGACUUUAUACCGGUUGCGACAGAUUCGAAUCGUAGAAGUCGAUGUGGGUACGACCCGAGUCAAAGUGCAGAUCAAGCUAUGAGAUGCAGGUUCGUGAAGGGUGCAGAUGCUCCAGAUGCGGUUUAGACUACCAACAAUUAAUAUCGAAAUCUAAAAACAAAUAAACUGAUACGAGCAAACAGAAGUAGAUUAAAUCCCGAAGGAUCAAACCUACUAUGAUACCAAAUUGAAUAUCAGAGUGUGAAACGAACAAGACUACAAAAUAAUAGAAAUAUUAUUAAACAAACGAGAAUGCCGGAAUGGCUACAAAACCCUAAGAGACUACAUUGUGACUAACUUAUUUCUCAACUGAAUAACAAGCAUGUUAUUUAUAAUAAACUAACCCUAAUCCUAAAAAGGUAAGAAACCGAAACCCUAAUGCUAACGGGCUAAGCCCAUAAAACCAAACAUUCAAAUAAACCAAAAUACAAAUAUUUUCCAACAAUGGGCACACACAAAGUGUGUGAGAAUUUUUUUAUUUUGUGUUUUUGAAAUAGAAGGAGAGAGGAAGAGAGUGAUAGAGAAUGUGGAGGUGUGAAUUUUUUUAUUUUUAUUAGAGAUAUAUUAGGAUCACAUGUAAGUGAUGUUUUGAAGAAAAAAAACAGUAAAAUUGUUGCCUCAUAUUUCUUAUUCAUAUAUUUUUUUUAAUUAGAUGGUUAAAUUGAUAAUUUUAUAGAAUUUUAGUUGACAAUAAGUGUUUUAUUAAUUAAUAUAGAUUUGUUUUUUGGCCAAAAAAAGAAUAACAUAUGUUGGGGAAAUCCAAGUAGACAGAGCCCAGCUCAAUAAGCAAAAAAAAGUGUGCACUCUAACAAACUAUGAAUAUUUAUUUUUUAUUUUUGAAAAGCAAUAGUUGUAAUAAAUUAAAUUGUUAUUUGUUAAAAUGUGAAGAAAAUUGGUAGGGAUCCAACGAACAUCACAAUGCAUUAUCAGAAUUACAUUAUGCAAAUAGGAUCAAGAUUUCGUCCACCGUCUUAUCUGCGAGUCUAAAAGUCGUGAGCCCGUGAUUAUGAAAAAAAAAAAUUCAACAUCAGUGAUCCAUUCAGUCUGAAAAAGUUUUAUGAGUUGCGUGAGUAAAUUUGAGACGGCUGCUCUAGUUUAUAUAAAAAUUUGUCCUAGGUUCGUUUUUAAAGGAUAAUACCAACAUUCAUAUGCUAUGAAAGGGCAUAUAAACCCUAUGCUGGAACUGGCCAACAUUCUCCAUUCCAAAGGCUUCUCCGUAGCCAUCAUCCACACCAACUUCAACUCCCUCAAUCCUUCAACCCGAAACCCACACUUCAGCUACCAUUCAAUCCCUGUUGACUUGACAGAAACCGAGGCCUCCAUCAAGGAUCUCACCGUUGUUCUUUCUAUUCUAAAUGCUAAAUGUGUUGAGCCUUUCAGAGAAUGCUUAGUCGGGUUGUUGUCCGAUGGCGUUAAUUCGGAGAACCCCAUUUGCAUGCUUGAUCUCCGACCCUUUCUUCGAUUUCACUCGAUCGGUUGCGGAGAGCUUUAAGCUGUCGACGAUCAUGUUAAGGACCGGGGGUGCCGCUUCCUUGGCUGUUUAUGCUGCAUUUUCACUACUCAAGGAAAAUGGUUACCUACCAAUAUCAGGUAAACUCUCAAGCCAACAAAACCCUGUUAUUAAAUCUGUUUUAAUUUCAUCAUUGUACAUCCAUAUAAUGAGUAGAAUGAGGACACUGUACCAAGACUAAUGACUCGUUUAUAAUUCUUUCUAUAAGUAACAUUUUUAUUUUUUGUUCGUAAGAGAUUGUACAAUGCUUUUGUUAUAAACAUGUCUAAAAUUUUAUUAAAAACUCUAAGUGCUUCUUGGCAAAAACUUCAAAGUGAUUCUUCUCCUUCUUCUUUAGAAAUAACUAUAGAUCCAAAAAUGUACCAAAAUACUUUUUGACUUUUCUAAAAGGGAUCCCAAAUUGGUACAUAAACAACUUAUGUUGAUUUGGAUUAGAGUAGUGCUAUCCUUAUCAUCUAUUAGUGUCAUCUCUUUAAUAGAUGUAUAACAUACUAAUACAUGUAGUCCCAUCUCUAUUAGAUAGAUGGUACAAAUGAUAAUAUAAACAGAUGGUAAAUGUAGUAUUUUUAUUUGGACUAAGAUAACUAGCCAGGUUAGCAUGUUUAGAGCAUCUUCAAUGAUGGACUUUAUAUGAGGCUGAAAAAGUGGUACAUAUGGCCCAAUUUAGAGCUCUAAGAAAUCUUUAGGACUCUAAAAAUGAAUCCCUCCCAAUGAGUGACUAUAUACCUUUUUGGCUCUAUAUGAGGCUAAAUAUAUUUCUGGCUCUGUAUGGGGUAUAUAUUUAUUUAUGUAAUAAUUUGAUUAUGCUGUAAAUUUAUUGUUAUCUUAACUUUUCUUAAGUUAAUUUUUGGACAUGUUAUCUUAAAUAUUUUUAGGAACUUUUCAUGUCACAUCCCGGCCCAGGUCCACCACAUCCCGGGCCCUCUUUACCACCGUAACACGAUAUUGUCCGCUUUGGGCUUACCAUUCCCUCACGGUUUUGUUUUUGGGAACUCACGAGCAACUUCCCAGUGGGUCACCCAUUCUGGGAGUGCUUUGACCUCCUUCUUGCUUAACUUCGGAGUUCCUACGGAACCCGAAGCCAGUGAGCUCCCAAAAGGCCUCGUGCUAGGUAGGGAUGAGAAUAUACAUUUAAGGAUCACUCCCCUGGGUGAUGUGAGAUGUCACAUUUCAACCUAAAAAAAAAUUCAAAUUCUAACAAAGUUAGAUUAAUUUGAUCACCUAUGCACUGUUAGAUUAGGUUCUCACCGUUGGAUUAGGCUCUCUUAUCUUAACCUCAGCUAUUGGUUUAUGUUUCGGUUUAGGUCUCUAAACUACCAAUGUUAAAUUUCAUCACUUUUUUUUUAUGAACUUUUCAAUCUAGAAGAUUAAUGAGAGAGCACAAUAUUUUUUUCUUAAUUAAUAACGCACAGAAUAUAGCCGUUGUUUGUUUAUGUUUUCUUAAUUAAACAAAUGGUUGAAAAAUAAAUUCUUAAAAUCAUGUUUUGAAUUAGAAAUGGACUCCAUUUCUAAACUUAAAAAAAAAAAAAAAAAAAAAAAAAAAAAAAAAACCAAGGUCGGGCCCUCAAUUUGGUGUGGGUCUUUGUGGUUUUUGGUGCUAGAUGUAGCCUAUUUUUUUUUACUAUCCAAAGAAUGAAAUUGCUAGCCCAUGUAAUGGAAGUAGCUUCAUUUUCUAGCCCAUUAGAGAUGAAUUUUUUUUUAUUAGAGCUACAAAUAUAGUAGCCUCAAGGACGAUAAAGCCACAUUGAUGAUACUCUUAUCCCUUGCUUUCCCUCCUCAUAAAUUAACAUUUUAGAAUAUGCACAAUCUUGUUAAAAGACAAAAUAUAUGUACUUACUAGAAAACUUGUAUUUGGCUUUCUAUUUUGACAGAAUAUAUAUACUUGCUAAAAGUGUUUUAAUUGGAGUAGUGUUAUUCACUCUUUUUUCCCUCUCACACAUCCUUAUUAGUUUUUGUCUAUUGAUUUUCUUCAAUUAAUUUGAUUUAACGAUCAAAUAUUAAGAGGAGUAUGUGAGAAAUAAAAAUAGGCGUGUGUAUAGCAUCACCCUUUAAUUGCCUGAAUAUAUAAUACAUGGCUGACUAUGUGUAUUAAUUAUUAGCGCACAUAAUUGAGUAAGGAUAUAAAGUGCUAGUCGUAACUUUCUUGUAGUGAUUAUAUUGCCGAAAUAUUAUUGCUACAAAGAUUUAGACAAUUUAUUUUUGACCUUUUAUUUUGACAAUAGUUAGAUUCUCGCUUAGAAAAACCAGUGACAGAGCUUUCACCUCUCAAAGUUAAAGAUCUACCAAUGAUGACGAACUGCGACCCUGAGGUUUUUUAUAAGGUGAUGACCAACAUGGCAAAUGAACCCAUGGCUUCUUACGGACUAAUUUUAAAUACUUUUGAAGAUCUUGAAGGACAUGCACUUGCCACAAUUCGCCAAGAAUAUUACCCCAAUAUUCCAAUUUUCUCACUAGUCCAUUUCACAAGUGUGGUCCUACAACCUGUUCUUCUUCAAGUAGUUUAUUAGCACAAGACCAAAGUUGCAUUUCAUGGUUAGACACUCAAGCUCCAAAAUCUGUUGCUUAUGUUAGCUCAGGCCUCAGAUGGACUGAUUUUCAAUACUUUUGAAGACCUUGAAGAAACUUCACUGGCCAAAAUACGCCACGAGUAUCUACCCAAUACUCCAAUUUUCCCAAUAGGCCCAUUUCACAAGUAUUCCCCUUCCCCUUCUUCAAAUAGCCUAUUGUCACAAGACCAAAGUUGCAUUUCAUGGCUAAACACUCAAGCACCAAAGUCAGUUGUUUAUGUGAGUUUUGGGACCGUUGCCAAAAUGGAAGAAGCUCAAUUUUUGGAGAUAGCUUGGAGACUAUGCAAUAGCGACCAACCCUUCUUAUGGGUGGUUCGACCUAAUUUAGUCCAUGGAUCGAAUUGGCUCGAACAAUUACCUAGUGGGUUGGUUGAGCCUUUGAACGGGAGGGGACACAUUGUGAAAUGGGCGCCACAAAAUGAAGUGUUGACCCAUCCGGCAGUUGGAGCCUUUUAGACCCACAAGGUUGGAAUUCUACAUUCGAGAGUGUUUGUGAGGGGGUCCCCAUGAUUUGUACGCCAAGUUUCGCCAAUCAAAUGGUUCUUGCAAGAUAUGCGAGUGAAGUUUGGAAGGUCGGGUUGCAGAUUGAAGAUGGGAUUGAGAGAGGUGUGAUUGAAAAAACAAUUAGGAAAGUAAUGGUGGAGAAGGAAGGGGAAGAGAUGAGAGACAGAGCCUUGAAGCUAAUGGAGAAGGCAAAUCUUUGCCUCAAGCAAGGUGGCUCCUCAAACCAAUCUUUGGAUGGGUUGGUUAAACAUAUUUAAUCAUUCAAACCAUUUGGUGUUCUACAAGAAUAACAUAUAAAUAGUUCAUCAAAACUGUUUUGUUCCUGUUUUUUUGUCAAACGAUAUAUUUUGUUAGAUUAAUCAUUAACGGGAUUUGAACCUACAUCGUCAUAUAAGGGCUCAAUACAUUUCCACCAUUAUUGUUCUUUUAUUUUGACAUUUUUUAUUUUAUUUUUUUAUCACAAAUUAACAUUUAUUUAAAACACGGGGCCAAUCCAAAAAAGGCAAAAACCCAACAGAGAUUAAGGAAAUCCAAGUAGACAGAGCCCAGCUCAAUAAGCCCAAAAAAGUGUGUAUUCUAACAAACUAUGAAUAUAUAUAUAUAUAUACACACACACAGAGAGCUUAAGGGGAGGGAUCCCCAUUUUUUGAAAAAAAUGGGGAUUAGGUGUGGGGCCCACUUCACAUCUAAUUUCAACGAUCCGAACCGUCUAUUUUGUUAGUCUCGAUUCAUAUAUCAUCCUUGCAAAAUAUUAGCUAAAUUGGAAAUGUUUAAGACAUCUAAUUGGGUUCAAGGAAAUGAACGAAUACUUUGUUAUAUAAGAAAAUAUGAAAUUUGAUAUUGAUAAUUAAAUAGGCAAAUGAUUUCGGAUUGAAUUGAAUUUUUGCAAGGAUGAUCUAUGAAUCGAGACUAACAAAAUAGACAGUUCGGAUCGUUGAAAUUUGAUGUGAAGUGGGCCCCACACCUAAUCCCCAUUUUUUUCAAAAAAUAGGGAUCCCUCCCCUUAAGCUCUUUGUAUAUAUAUAUAUAUAUAUAUAUAUAUAUAUAUAUAUAUAUAUAUAUAUAUAUAUAUAUAUAUAUAUUAGACAACGAUAGCAGUAAUAGGUCAAAUUAUUGGUUGUUAAAAUGUGAAGAAAAUCGGUAUAGAUCGAACCAGUAUGAUAAUGCAUUAUCAGGAAUGAGGAUCAUCUUCAGAUUUACUUUGUGAAAAUCUAGGAGAUUAUUUAAUCGUGUUUAUUUAUCAUAAAUCUUGUGGUCAAUUUUUGUGAGAUGUUAUUUGUGUUAAAUUUUAAAUAAAAUAUUUAAAAUAAUUUAUGAUUGCAUGAUAUACGAUAAAUAUAUACAAUUAAAGAGUCACCGGAAUCCUAAAAUAGAGGACCUAUCCUAUCCUCAUUCCAUUAUCAGAAUUACUUUAUGCAAAUGGGAUUCAAGAUUUCCUCCACUAUCUUAUUUGCGAGUCUUAUCGUGAGCCUGUAGUUCAGAAAAGAAAAAAAAUCAACAUCAGGGACCCAUUCAGUCAGAAAAAGUUUUAGGAGUUGCGUGAUUAAAUUUGAGACGGCUGCUCUAGCUUAUGUAAAAAGUUCGUCUUCGGUUCGGAUUUUUUUUUAAUAUUUUUUUAAGGAUAAUACCAAAUGAACAAAGUUGCUUAAAAAAUACAGGAGUUUCUGCUCUCACUCAAUAACGAGAAAUUUUUUAAUGAGAACGAAAUACGGGAUAGUACACCACGUAUCACUAUAAAAAUAGUGGGAUAUAUAUAUUAAAAAGUUAAUAAUUAAAAAAACACAAUUUUCCAUCACUUAUAUAAAAAUACGUGAUGUACCAUUUGUAUUCCGAUUACAAUGAAAAUUUUCUCACCAAUAAUAGCUUAACUAGUAUCCGAGUUGUUUGUUCAAGCUCUUAAUUUUCAAUGAUUUUGGACACUCAUCAAGUUGUUAUUGGAUGAGAGCUCCUGCUUGUUUUUUUAUGUAACCAAGCUUUAUUAAUACCAAAUUCAUAUGCUAUGCAAACAAAAAACAAUCUCGAUUCAAAAAUGGAGCAAAGCAAAGGCAGGAGACUGAUCCUUUGCCCACUGCCAUUGCAAGGGCAUAUAAACCCUAUGCUGGAACUGGCCAACAUUCUCCAUUCCAAAGGCUUCUCCGUAGCCAUCAUCCACACCAACUUCAACUCCCUCAAUCCUUCAACCCGAAACCCACACUUCAGCUACCAUUCAACCCCUGUUGACUUGACAGAAACCGAGGCCUCCAUCAAGGAUCUUACCGUUGUUCUUUCUAUUCUAAAUGCUAAAUGUGUUGAGCCUUUCAGAGAAUGUUUGGCCGGGUUGUUAUCCGAUGGCGUUCAUUCGGGGAACCCCAUUGCAUCCUUGAUCUCCGACCCUUUCUUUGACUUCACUCGAUCGGUUGCGGAGAGCUUUGAACUGCCGACGAUCAUGUUAAAGACUGGGGGUGCCGCUUCCUUGGCUGUUUAUGCUGCAUUUCCACUACUCAAGGAAAAGGGUUACCUACCAAUAUCAGGUAAAAUCUCAAGCCAACAAAACCUGUUAUUACAUGUGUUUUAAUUUCAUCAUUGCACAUCUAAAUAAUAUGAGUAGAAUGAGGACACUAUACCAAGACUAAUGUCUCGUUUAGAAUUCUUUCUAUAAGUAAUAUUGUUGUUUUUUAUUCGUAAGAGAUUAUAAAAUGCUUUUGUUAUAAACAUGUCAAAAAUUUUAUUAAAACUCAAGUGCUUCUUGGCAAAAACUUCGAAGUGAUUCUUCUUCUUCUUUAGAAAUAACUACAGAUCCAAAAAUGUUUUGGUAACUACAAAACACUUUUUAACUUGACGGAUAGGGGGACUAAAUAUUUAUUCAAAAUCUUUUCCAUCUAACGUGUAUUAUACAACGGAAUUCAUAGGCUCACAGCCUCACAAGCUAAGCAAGACAGUCGUUCUUAGAAAUUCAAAUGGAGCAGAGCAAAGCCCGGAGAGUGAUACUCUCCCACUGCCAUUCCAAGUGCACAUAUACCCUAUGCUAGAACUGGCCAACAUUCUACACACCAAAGGCUUCUCUAUAACCAUUAUCCACACCCGCUUCAACUCUCUCAACCCUUCAACCCUAAACCUACACUUCACCAACCAUACAAUCCCUGUCGACCUGUCCAAAACCGAGGCCUCCACAAAGAAUUUCCCACUUCUUCGUUCUACCCUAAAUGCUAAAUGUGUCGAACCUUUCAGAGAAUGCUUGGCCGUGUUGUUAUCCGAUGAUGUUACUUCGGAGGAGCCUGUCGCUUGCUUGAUCUCCGACACUUUCUUUG